UUGUUGGGGGACAGCUGCAUCCUUCCCCUGGUGGCGUCGAAGGUUAUCCUUCACCCGAGGAACCUCCGACGUCUGAGGCGUCGGAGGAUAUCCUUUAUCGGGAAAUGCUAAUGUUGACGACUCGUCUGGUCGUGCUAAGUGUGUGCAGGGACUGAGACACCGGCGGAGGUCCACGAGCAAGGAAAGGUGGGAACCUCCGACCCUCCUGGGUCCGAGGAUGGCGGGAGAACGCGGCCAGGCCGAGGAACCUCCGACUGGACCAGGCUAAGGAGGAACUCCCGGGGUGGCCGGGUCGAGCAACCUCCGGCCCAGCCAGGCUGAGGAUCCUCCGACACUAAAGCGUCGGAGGAUCCGCAACUGGGCGGAGAAUCCAAGCCUCCGACCAGCUGAGGCCCCAGUCAGAGGAUGAACGAAUGGCUUGCAAUGUGAAAUUACGCAGGUGCAUUAGGGUCAGUAGACUGCGAUGAAAGAAUAUACUGGAAUAUUCCCCCACCGUCACGGGGCAUUUAUGUAAAUGUCAUUAGGUCGGUUUCCAGGCCCUAUAUAAGGGGCGCGAUGCCGUCGUUAAUAA
rnacentral:lncRNA from 1 species